UAGGGAUGGUCUUGUAGACGGUACCUGAC
rnacentral:piRNA from 1 species